AGUCCUGUAGCUUAGUGGUUAGAGCACUCGCCUCGAAAGCGAGAUUACCUGGGUUGGAUUCCCAGUAGGGCAA